rnacentral:lncRNA from 1 species
UUUAAUCUCUUCUUCUCGAUCAGAUUCAGUUGGUCGUAACGACUCUGAAUCCAUUCAGCAUCAGUCAACUUGGGACUUUGAGGGUGCUUUUUUCUUUUGUUUCUUUCUUUCUUUUUCUUUCUUUUUCUUUCUUUUGAUUUCUUUUGAUUUCUUUUGAUUUUGCACCCUCCUCUUUCUUUUUUUUUGUUUCUUUUUUGUUUUUUGUAAUGCCCCAGUUGGCUGUUCUGCUGAUUCUCGAGAUGCAGCUGAGUGAUCUUCUUUUCUUGCUCAAGAAGUCGGGAAUCU